UUUACUUUAUUUUAUUACAAGAAAAUAAAAAUUACAAAAAAAAUAGUUUCAUUAAUGUUUUGUAGUCAUUUUUAAUCUUGAAAAUACCAAAAAUAGUUUUGUUUUAACAGUCAAACUUAUUUUAAUACUUAUUUUACUUAAGUAGGAUUAAUUAAUAAAUGAGAUCGUAUUUUUAGUCUCGUUCGCGGGGAAAGAAUAAAACUUGGGCUCGAGCAACCCAUUUUUUUGCCUAAUUUUUGGGCCUAGCCCAUUAUCCCUAAGCUCAUACCCCUAAUCUAAUUCCUACCCUAUAUAAUAGUAUCUAAUUCCUAAUAAGAGCCGGGACCUAAAAUAGACUAACGCCCUAAAGACCAAAAGACUGAAAAAGCUGCUAGCCGCAAUUCUCNNNNNNNNNNNNNNNNNNNNNNNNNCAUCUUCUCCACCAAACACUGCUGCUUCUUCACGGGGUCGCCCCAUCAUCAAAACGAGCCUCUGUUAUUCGGCACACAAGAAAUUGGAAAAAGGGCUCCUCAUCUCAACAUCACUUCUGCAAAAAUAACCCCCAUCUCUCUUGACAAAGCAACAGCCAGCCCCAUAAGAGAAACUUGACGAAAUCCUCUAGCAAACCAGUCCCAAACCAGCCUAUCAAAUGAGCCGAAAACCACCUCAAAAAUACUCAAAAGCUGCAGCAACAAAUAGUACCAAACAGUUCUAAAAUCAGCUCGAACAGCAGUCCAUAACCACCCAAAAACGAGUCGAAAUACUACACCAGAAUCCAGUCGAGUUGCCGGUAAAAUUUUUGGUGACAACGGUCGUCCAUUGGAGUCGUGGGUCUAGAGGAACGUUAGCGGGUUUUGGUUCGAGGUUGUCAAGCUUCAGUCAAGUUGUUCGUCUGCGGCCUAGUUCAGUUUUGAAUUGUGGAGCUGUUGAACAAUUGAAAGUUCAGAUUCAUAUUUUAGGUUCAUUUCUCGUCUCAACCUCGAUUAAUGUUGAUUUAAUGUUCAAAUGCUAUGAAUUUUGUGCUUGAAUAAAAUACUAGUCUUGGCUGAUGAUAAUUUUCGUUUCUAUGCUUGCCUACUAUUUCUUUUUUGCUAUUUAUGUAUUAAGAUAUCUUUGCUUGAAAUAGUUUCAUAUUAGUUGUUAGCUUCUCUUGGUUAGCCAAUCAUUUUAGACUAGCAUUGGAUGGUCAAAUAUGAGCCAUUGAACAACAAUGGACCCCAUGAAGUUGGAUAUGGGUUCUGAUAUUGGCCAUGUGAUUUUGGUUUUAAUUAUUAAGGUGCUGAUAGGAAUUUGUUCAACUAUACUUGUUUCGGUAAUUAGGCCUCUUAAUAAUUGGUUCGAUAUUUGAUAAAGAACCCAAGGUGUUUCUUUGAUUGAUUUGGGCCUAGAUUGAGGCAUGCCAUGCCAAAUAAAAUCUCGAAGUCCAUGGCCCUCAUAAAACUAGCUAGCUUUUAUAGAAAUUUGAGGUGUGUCAUUUUCAUUAAAUAACUCAUGGCCCUCAUGUAAUUAAUAAUAAUUCUUUUAAAAAUUGAGUUGUGCCAUCAAUUGAAUUUUCUAUGGCCCUCGCAAACUUUGUUAUUAAUUUGAACCUUCGUAGUUGCUUUAGGCGCGCUCUUUAAAUUGACUUUCUUUUAAUUAUUAACCUCGGGUGCACAUUUCAUGUGACCCAAAUUCAAUUCUUAACAAUGUUAAAUAGAACGUGUCGUCAAUCGCAGGUGCAUUCAUGUGGCGUGGUUCAAGGCAUAUUUUAAGUAACGUUGAAUUUCCUAAAAGCAUUUUAAAAUAAUUAAAAGCGGCUAAAAGGUUAAAAAUACACAUAGGUUUAAAAGUAUUUUAAAAUUAAAUAAAUAGGCCAAUAGUAAUAGUUGAGCGACCGUGCUAGAACCACAGAACUCAUAAAUGCCUAACACCUUCUCCCGGGUUAAACAGAAUUCUUUACCCGGAUUUCUGUGUUCGCAGACAUAAACAGAGUCAAAUCUUCCUCGAUUCAGGAUUCUAAACUGGUGACUUGGGACACCAUAAAUUAUCCCAAGUGGCGACUCUGAUUUUUAAAUAAUAAUCCUAUUUCGAUUGUCACUUAAAUUAGAAAAAACUCCCUUAUACCCUUCCGGGAUAUGAAAAAAGGAGGUGUGACAGCUCUGGCGACUCUGCUUGGAAAAAGAACCCAGAAUCUCUGGUUCAAGAUUCAAGAAUUCAAGCUUGGAAAUCAUUGUUAUAUUUGGCUUUAUCUAUUAUAUGGUUUUAUUAACAUAUUUGGGCAUAAUGUGCUAAAUAUUGCUUUUACCACUUGAUAUUGUUGAACUGUAUAUAAAUUAUUACAAAACUCUCCCCUCUCUGAGUCUUCUAAAUCAUCUGGGAAGUGUGCACUUUGUGUGACUUCUUUUCUGUUAGAGUCAUAUCCCAAUUUUAGAAUGAGGUUCAGACAAGUUGCAAAGCCGGUGAAGCUUCUUUAUUCCCGGUACGCUACCCUCCCCAUCGGUUCGAGCUGUCCGCUCGAGUAAGCUAGGUCUAGAACAAAUAAACCCAGGUUUAUAAACCUAGAAUAACAUAGCCUCGUGCGGGAUCCCUAGUAGGAACACUUGUUUGCAUCACGUGCAUCUGACUUUGGGGUCAACACAGGGGUUGGGUCCGUUUAGGACAUGUACCCAAAAAUAAAAGACCAUAUUGAUGCAUUCUAUGUGCUACAUGUUGCAAUUUUCAAAGGUAAAAAUGGUCAUUUGGCAGACCAGUGAUAAUUGAGGGCAAAUGAAAAAAAUGAGAAAAAAAGAGAGGGUGGAGUGUGAAAAUAAAGCAAGUAGGGCCCAGUUGUAUUUUCUUUCACUUUUUUGUUAAGAAAAAAGACAAAAAAAUGAAAAAUUCAAAAAAAGAUUUUGCACCUUUUCAUCAUUUUUAGAAAAUCAAAAAAAGGAAAAGAAAAUCCAAAAAGAGUUUACAUGUUUCAUCAUUUUUUCAAAAAAGGGACAAAAAACAUAUUUUCUCUAAAUUACUUUUUUUUUAUUCUCGCCCGUAUCCAAUCUGCCCGAACUACGCAUACCUGAUUCUCGUCUUUCGGGGCGUGAUACAUAGGCAACCCACAUAGGGUCUGGUCUUCUAAGUAAGUCUUAGGUUAUUGGCUGCGCAGGGUCUUAGCCAAAUCUUGCAUUUUUAGCCACUUUUAGCUACAUAGGUUAAUUUUAGAAAAAUAGCCUCAAUCAUGUCUUGCAUGUAUCUAAUAGGGAAUGUUAUUAUCUCACAUAGUGUUGGUUAAAGUUUUCUCAUACAGGUGUGGAUCUACUUACCGGAGUUUGAGCAUGACAGAGCCCCAGGACCAUUUAGUCAGGAUCGCUCAUUCAGGAGUGGAUUAAAAGGAGAUUUUCUUUUCUUUUUUAUAUAUUGAGUUUUUCUUUUUAUGUCGUCUUUUACCUUCUAGUUUUGUAUAGUAAUGUCGAGUUUUUUUAUUAUUAUUAUACUUUCUGUUAUGCAUUUGGAAAAGUCUGUAAUAAAUCAAAAAUCCAAAAAAAGUGAUUUUGAGUUUUUAUAUUUCUGUUAGAUAUUUUCUUUAAAAUACUAACUCUAGA
rnacentral:lncRNA from 1 species